rnacentral:lncRNA from 1 species
GCGUGCGUGUUCGGGCAUGCGCGCUGCCGCCGCACUGCCCUCGCUUCCUGUGAGUCUUCAGGUCGCCGCUUGCUCUCGUUCCUAGGGUUUGGCCUGCAGUGGACGAGCAUCGCAUAGCCUGCGGGGCUGGAUGCUGACCGCCCGGGCCAGCACCUAGGCGGACGCGGAGCUGUGCAGACCAGGGUUCGCGCGGGCCGGGUGGAGGCUCAAGCGGGGACCCCGGAGCGUGAGCCCCGGAGUCGGCGGCGCUGGGGCCAGAGGGGCCGGGAGGGAGUCGGCUGAGGUGGCGGCGGAGGCGAAGUGGCGGCGGAGGCGAAGGGGCGGCGGGACCCGGGCCUGGCCCGUAUGUGUCCUUGGCGGCCUAGACUAGGCCGUCGCUGUAUGGUGAGCCCCAGGGAGGCGGAUCUGGGCCCCCAGAAGGACACCCGCCUGGAUUUGCCCCGUAGGCCCGGCCCGGGCCCCUCGGGAGCAGAACAGCCUUGGUGAGGUGGACAGGAGGGGACCUCGCGAGCAGACGCGCGCGCCAGCGACAGCAGCCCCGCCCCGGCCUCUCGGGAGCCGGGGGGCAGAGGCUGCGGAGCCCCAGGAGGGCCGGAGCCCUCAUGACUUCAGUGACCUGCUUCUGCCCCUCUAGGUCUAUCAGCCACAGUCUCUGCAUGUUUCCAAGAGCAACAGGAAAUGAACACAUUGCAGGGGCCAGUGUCAUUCAAAGAUGUGGCUGUGGAUUUCACCCAGGAGGAGUGGCGGCAACUGGACCCUGAUGAGAAGAUAGCAUACGGGGAUGUGAUGUUGGAGAACUACAGCCAUCUAGUUUCUGUGGGGUAUGAUUAUCACCAAGCCAAACAUCAUCAUGGAGUGGAGGUGAAGGAAGUGGAGCAGGGAGAGGAGCCGUGGAUAAUGGAAGGUGAAUUUCCAUGUCAACAUAGUCCAGUACAGAACCUGCUAAGGCCAUCAAACCUAUUGAUCGGAAGUCAGUCCAUCAGAUUUGCUCUGGGCCAGUGGUACUGAGUCUAAGCACUGCAGUGAAGGAGUUAGUAGAAAACAGUCUGGAUGCUGGUGCCACUAAUAUUGAUCUAAAGCUUAAGGACUAUGGAGUGGAUCUCAUUGAAGUUUCAGACAAUGGAUGUGGGGUAGAAGAAGAAAACUUUGAAGGCUUAACGAUGUCACCAUUUCUACCUGCCACGCGUCGGUGAAGGUUGGGACUCGACUGGUGUUUGAUCACGAUGGGAAAAUCAUCCAGGAAACCCCCUACCCCCACCCCAGAGGGACCACAGUCAGCGUGAAGCAGUUAUUUUCUACGCUACCUGUGCGCCAUAAGGAAUUUCAAAGGAAUAUUAAGAAGGU